rnacentral:lncRNA from 10 species
AGAUCAUUUUGUUUAAAAGUGUAACACUGUCCCCCUUCACCCUCUCCCUCCUGCUGCCAUGGAAUAUGUGCCUUGCUUCCCCAUCAUCUUCUGCCAUGAUCAUAAGUGUCCUGAGGCUUCCUCAGCCAUGUGGAACUGUGAAUCAAUUAGACCUUUUUUUUAAAAAUAAAUUACUCAGUCUCAGGUAGUUCUUUAUAGCAGUGUGAAAACGGACUAAUACAAUGGCUUUUGGAAAAAUUUCAAGCAGUCUGACAUAUAUAUAUGUUAGAUGAAAUAUAAUAUGUAUAAUUAGAGUUUAUUAUAUCUAAUAUAUAAGUAGAGAAUAUGUGAUGCACUAUUUAAUCAGAGGUUCAGAAGAAUGGAGGGGGACAGAAAAAUAUAUGCAGGAAUAUGACUUUGCUGGGCAUGGUGAAUCACACCUAUAAUCCCAGCACUUUGGGAGACCGAGGCUGGCAGAUUGCUUGAGCCUGGAAAUUUGAGAACAGCCUGGGCAAUAUGGCAAAACCCCGUUUCUACAAAAA